rnacentral:rRNA from 1 species
AAGCGGUGGAGUAUGUGGUUUAAUUCGACGCAACGCGCAGAACCUUACCUAGACUUGACAUCCCGGGGAUUUUCUGGAAACAGAGAAGUGCUUUAGCAAUAAAGAACCCGGUGACAGGCGCUGCAUGGCUGUCGUCAGCUCGUGUCGUGAGAUGUUGGGUUAAGUCCCGCAACGAGCGCAACCCUCGCCUUUAGCUGCCAGCAUUCAGUUGGGCACUCUAGAGGGACUGCCGGUGUCAAACCGGAGGAAGGUGGGGAUGACGUCAAGUCCUCAUGGCCUUUAUGUCUAGGGCUACACACGUACUACAAUGGCCGGUACAAAGGGCAGCCACUCAGCGAUGAGGCGCUAAUCCCAUAAAGCCGGUCUCAGUCCGGAUCGCAGGCUGCAACUCGCCUCCGUGAAGGCGGAAUCGCUAGUAAUCGCGGAUCAGCAGGCCGCGGUGAAUACGUUCCCGGGCCUU